rnacentral:rRNA from 1 species
UACGUAGGGUGCGAGCGUUGUCCGGAAUUAUUGGGCGUAAAGAGCUCGUAGGCGGUGUGUCACGUCGGCCGUGAAAACCUGCAGCUUAACUGUGGGCGUGCGGUCGAUACGGGCAUCACUGGAGUUCGGCAGGGGAGACUGGAAUUCCUGGUGUAGCGGUGAAAUGCGCAGAUAUCAGGAGGAACACCGGUGGCGAAGGCGGGUCUCUGGGCCGAUACUGACGCUGAGGAGCGAAAGCGUGGGGAGCGAACAGG